CUCUGUACUCUCCAUUGCAUGCCAGCUCAGCUAGGCAUCCUUUGCAUGCCUACGAGUUGUUGUGCGCUGCCUUGUUCCUACAUCCCAUGCUCCCAUGCACGUUGCCACCAUGGCCACAAGCUCAGGCACCACCACUGGCGGAGCAAGAGCACGGGCAGUCGGCACCGUCUCCGUCUUAUCCAAGGAAGCAAAGCGACCAAGAGCAUGCUGCUACCUGUCGCCAAGGCCAGGGACCCCAAACAAAGGAACGUGGAGUGCAGCAUCAAGUCCGUGGCACAAAACCCGCAAACAGUGGAAGGAUGCCAAGCCAAAUCAACAAGGAACGAAGAAUGCACAGGAGAUAUGGGGAUGCGAUGAAAUUCUUGCAUAAGCAGCACCCCCCCCCACUAUCCUCUGCUUUUUCUUCACUUCAACUUGCAAAGAGCAACCCUNNN
rnacentral:lncRNA from 1 species